rnacentral:rRNA from 1 species
CUCUGACCUCAAAUCAGGUAGGACUACCCGCUGAACUUAAGCAUAUCAAUAAGCGGAGGAAAAGAAACUAACAAGGAUUCCCCUAGUAACGGCGAGUGAACCGGGAAGAGCUCAAAUUUGUAAUCUGGCGUGCUACGUGCGUCCGAGUUGUAAUCUAGAGAGGCGUUUUCCGUGCCGGUCCGUGUCCAAGUCCCUUGGAACAGGGUAUCAAAGAGGGUGACAAUCCCGUACUUGACACGACCACCGGUGCUCUGUGAUACGUCUUCGACGAGUCGAGUUGUUUGGGAAUGCAGCUCAAAACGGGUGGUAAAUUCCAUCUAAAGCUAAAUAUUGGCGAGAGACCGAUAGCGAACAAGUACCGUGAGGGAAAGAUGAAAAGCACUUUGGAAAGAGAGUUAAACAGUAUGUGAAAUUGUUAAAAGGGAAACGAUUGAAGUCAGUCGUGUUCAUUGGAUUCAGCCGGUUCUGCCGGUCUACUUCCUUUGAACGGGUCAACAUCAGUUUUGAUCGGUGGAUAAAUUCGGGAGGAAGGUGGCAUCCUCGGAUGUGUUAUAGCCUCCCGUUGCAUNCNCUGGUCGAGACUGAGGAACGCAGCUCGCCUUUAUGGCCGGGGUCGCCCACGUCCGAGCUUAGGA